UGACUACGUGAACAUGAACUACAUUUUUC
rnacentral:sRNA from 1 species